UUGUGUUUAAGUUGGUGACCUGGAGUAAAGGCUUCAUCACAGAACAUACAGAGACCUUUGGAACGUCGGUCUUGCAUUUCUUGAUAGCUGAACUUUCUUGCGGGUUUAUCAUUGUUGUUGCGGGGAAUGAAAGAGGGUUUAUUUUGGGUAGUGGGUAGUAGUGGGGUGGUGGUGGUGGGUGUUUUAUAGGGUAGGUUUGUGGUGGGUUUUUGGGUGGGGAAAUGGUUGAAGGGAGCUCGUUGGUACUUAUGCGGUGUUUGGGCAAGUGAGGACUCGUGAAGGCUAGCGAUCCUUGCUGCGUCAGAUACCGUAGUGACACUGAACUGACGUACAUGGAGGGAGAGGUGAGGGUUCAUGUUGGUGAGGAAGAAACUGAGGGCGUGGGUUUCAGGUAGUGUUAGGCGGGUUCUGAUGUUCUCGAACUUAUCAAGGAACGUGAUGAUUGAGUCAGAACC
rnacentral:lncRNA from 1 species